GGUACUUUUCUGUAAUCCUUUCUGAAAUUUUAUGGAUUUUAAUCGAUUUCUUUCUGCAUGUGUAUGGUGUGAAGGAAAGGUUAAAUCUGUUUUUUCCUUCAUAAGUAGCUAACAGCUGACUGACUUUUCAUUGAAAACUCCAUCUUUUUCCUCUUUCCUAAAGUCCUACCUCUAUCAACAAUCAAGUAUCCACUUGGGGUUAUUUCUAAACUUCUUAUUGUACACUCGUCUCUUUUUUCAUCACAUAACAAUUUUGUGCUGAUUGUUCCAGCUAAUUAGUAUGUGUUUCUUUAGACAAAGUAAGGCCAUAAUUUUUGUGUUCUGACAUUGAGGGUGUCUUUGCAACUUUUUAUGUCUGAGAAGGACUUUUUCAAGUUACACAAAAAAUUUUGACUUCAGCUGGGAACAUGCAUGUCAGGUGACUAAAUAUUUUGCUGCUCUGGGCAUGUCACUGAAUGAUGGUAACGUGCCAUAAGUAUUGAUUUUGGGGUUAAAAGAAUUUUUAGCAAAUAGAUAAAUUUGUAAAUACAGAAUCUGUGAAUAAUGAGGAUUGAGUAUAAAGGUGUUUUUUGGACAAAUUGGUGAUGUUUCUGAUGGAUACCAAGGGGCUGAGAGAGUUGGGGACUGCUAUGGUGUUCCAUGCUAGGAUGGUCAGAUAUUCAAUAAAUUAAAAUCCCCAUAAGUAAAGCAAACAUCAUAUAUAAAACCUGGAAGGCUUUUAAAUUCUUAAAAAUCCCAAUCUUCAUUGGCCCAGUUAGGGUUCUUAAAUGUGUUUAUUUCUUCUUGUAUCACUCCCUGAAGAGAGGCAUUCUCUCAGCUUACCGAUCGUGUAACGUUUUCACACGAAAACUACUCCCAAAAUUAGGGUAGGUCUUAGGUUUAAUGUUUCAUAAGCAGGAAUAUUGUUUGUUCCAGACCCUAGUUCCAGGAUUUAGUCCUUUUUCAUAGAAUAACCACAUUCCUGUAUCCUAACAUGUCUGCCAAAUUUGGUUAAUGUUCUGUGUAUCUUCUCAGAGGCCGAUCUGCUCAGGAAAAUCAGAACCAGAGGAGAGAAGUGAAAAGUAAGUUAUACUGAGAGCGAAAAAGAAGGAAUCAUAUAGAGGGGAAUAAGAGGGAAUUAGUGGGAUUCAUGUAGAGGGUGUACUUCCUGAAAUCUCCCACUCUGGCACAUUGUCUCUCUCCCCUCCACACACACACCGGUGGGCCCACAUCUCCCUACACUCUACACACAGGCCGAGACCUUUGUGAAGUCUGUGCAGCAUUGCAUUGCCCUGGCCUAGCUCAUGGUGGAGCAGAACUUUCCAGCCAUUGCUAUCCAUUGUGGGACGCCCUGGCAGGAGAGGCUUUCCUGGUAUCAGUAGUUAAAGAUCUUCGAUGACAAAUUCUUGUGGCCACCAUGGACAUUGAGCGGGUGAACACUGCCAUCAACUACCACCUGCCUGGGGAUUCCCACUCCUACCUGCAUCUGGUAAACUGCACACCCACAUGGACAUCCCAGUGUCCCCUCCCACCCCCUGAUUUCCUAUGUCUUCAUACUUUACAUGCUCGUCCCUUCUUUUGGGUGUCUUCCUACUUUGGGGUUUUCCCAGUGCUACCAUCUAUCUCCUUCCAUGAGACCUGAGCAGGCCAGUUUGGUCACACAGGUUUGGCCAUCAUGUUUGUGUCAGUUGAAAAGAUGCCAAGGUUCUCAGUGAGGUGCAGGGUCACAUUGAGGUCAGUAGGAGUGAGCUGCCUGAUGAGAUGGCCAUUUCCUCCUCCAGUGAGUAUUGAUCUCAUGAAACUGGCUCCUCCAAA